CCCUUAGAUGUUCUGGGCCGCACGCGUGCUACACUGAGUGGAUCAGCGGGUCAGGUUGCGCGAAAGCGUUUCCUAAUCUUUAAAUCCGCUCGUGAUGGGGAUUGACGGUUGCAAUUUUCUGUCAUGAACGAGGAAUACCUUGUAAGCGCGGGUCAUCAUCCCGCGCUGAAUACGUCCCUGCCCUUUGUACACACCGCCCGUCGCUACUACCGAUUGAAUGGUUUAGUGAGGCCUUCUGACUGGCGCCGCUACUCUGGCAACAGAGCGGCGGAUGCCGGGAAGUUGGUCAAACUUGAUCAUUUAGAGGAAGUAAAAGUCGUAACA
rnacentral:rRNA from 1 species